rnacentral:rRNA from 1 species
AGCGAACGCUGGCGGCAGGCCUAACACAUGCAAGUCGAGCGGCAGCGCGGGGGCAACCCUGGCGGCGAGCGGCGGACGGGUGAGGAAUUCGUCGGAAUCUGCCUUUUUGUGGGGGAUAACGUAGGGAAACUUACGCUAAUACCGCAUACGUCCUACGGGAGAAAGUGGGGGACCGCAAGGCCUCACGCAGAAAGAUGAGCCGACGACCGAUUAGCUAGUUGGUGGGGUAAAGGCCCACCAAGGCGACGAUCGGUAGCUGGUCUGAGAGGAUGAUCAGCCACACUGGGACUGAGACACGGCCCAGACUCCUACGGGAGGCAGCAGUGGGGAAUAUUGGACAAUGGGCGCAAGCCUGAUCCAGCCAUGCCGCGUGUGUGAAGAAGGCCUUCGGGUUGUAAAGCACUUUUGUCCGGAAAGAAAUCCCUGGAGCUAAUACCUUCGGGGGAUGACGGUACCGGAAGAAUAAGCACCGGCUAACUUCGU